AUUGAACGCUGGCGGCAUGCCUUACACAUGCAAGUCGAACGGUAACGGGCCUUCGGGUGCCGACGAGUGGCGAACGGGUGAGUAAUGUACCGGAACGUACCUUUCAGUGGGGGAUAACGUAGCGAAAGUUACGCUAAUACCGCAUAUUCUGUGAGCAGGAAAGCGGGGGAUCGCAAGACCUUGCGCUGAUUGAGCGGCCGAUAUCAGAUUAGCUAGUUGGUGAGGUAAAGGCUCACCAAGGCGACGAUCUGUAGCGGGUCUGAGAGGAUGAUCCGCCACACUGGAACUGAGACACGGUCCAGACUCCUACGGGAGGCAGCAGUGGGGAAUUUUGGACAAUGGGGUCAAACCUGAUCCAGCCAUGCCGCGUGAGUGAAGAAGGCCUUCGAGUUGUAAAGCUCUUUCGGCCGGGAAGAAAUCGCAUGGGUUAAUACCCUGUGCGGAUGACGGUACCGGCAUAAGAAGCACCGGCUAACUACGUGCCAGCCGCCGCCGUAA
rnacentral:rRNA from 1 species